rnacentral:rRNA from 1 species
CCUACGGGGGGCAGCAGUGGGGAAUAUUGGACAAUGGGGGGAACCCUGAUCCAGCCAUGCCGCGUGUGUGAAGAAGGCCCUCGGGUUGUAAAGCACUUUCAGUGAGGAAGAACGCCUGGUGGUUAAUACCCAUCAGGAAAGACAUCACUCACAGAAGAAGCACCGGCUAACUCCGUGCCAGCAGCCGCGGUAAUACGGAGGGUGCGAGCGUUAAUCGGAAUUACUGGGCGUAAAGCGCGCGUAGGUGGCUUGAUAAGCCGGUUAUGAAAGCCCCGGGCUCAACCUGGGAACGGCAUCCGGAACUGUCAAGCUAGAGUGCAGGAGAGGAAGGUAGAAUUCCCGGUGUAGCGGUGAAAUGCGUAGAGAUCGGGAGGAAUACCAGUGGCGAAGGCGGCCUUCUGGACUGACACUGACACUGAGGUGCGAAAGCGUGGGUAGCAAACAGGAUUAGAUACCCUGGUAGUC